rnacentral:rRNA from 1 species
GAUGAACGCUGGCGGCGUGCUUAACACAUGCAAGUCGAGCGAGUGAGUUCUUCGGAACGAUCUAGCGGCGGACGGGUGAGUAACACGUGGGCAACCUGCCUCAUAGAGGGGAAUAGCCUCCCGAAAGGGAGAUUAAUACCGCAUAAAAUUAUCGAGUGGCAUCAAAUGAUAAUCAAAGGAGUAAUCCGCUAUGAGAUGGGCCCGCGGCGCAUUAGCUAGUUGGUGAGGUAACGGCUCACCAAGGCGACGAUGCGUAGCCGACCUGAGAGGGUGAUCGGCCACAUUGGGACUGAGACACUGCCCAGACUCCUACGGGAGGCAGCAGUGGGGAAUAUUGCACAAUGGGGGAAACCCUGAUGCAGCAACGCCGCGUGAGUGAUGAAGGUCUUCGGAUUGUAAAGCUCUGUCUUUGGGGACGAUAAUGACGGUACCCAAGGAGGAAGCCACGGCUAACUACGUGCCAGCAGCCGCCGUAA